rnacentral:rRNA from 1 species
UACAGAGACUGCAAGCGUUAUCCGGAUUCACUGGGUUUAAAGGGUGCGUAGGUGGGUUGGUAAGUCAGUGGUGAAAUCCCCGAGCUUAACUUGGGAACUGCCAUUGAUACUAUCAGUCUUGAAUAUUGUGGAGGUUAGCGGAAUAUGUCAUGUAGCGGUGAAAUGCUUAGAUAUGACAUAGAACACCAAUUGCGAAGGCAGCUGGCUACGCAUAUAUUGACACUGAGGCACGAAAGCGUGGGGAUCAAACAGG